rnacentral:lncRNA from 1 species
AGAUGAAGUCUCUCUCUCUGUUUUCCAGGCUGCUGGAAUGCAGUGGCAUGAUCAUAACUUCACUGUAACCUCGAACACCUGGGCUCAAGCAGGCCUUCUGCCUCAGCCUCCCGAGUGGCUGGGAUUAUAAGUGCAAUUCACUGUGCCUGGCUUUUGUCCUUUGUUUUUCACUGGCUUUUGCUCAGCAUAUUUUUGAGAUUCAUUCAUGUUGUGAGUAUGUUUCUUUUCGUUUCAGCAAUUUAAAAAUGUCAUCCCAUUUUUUCUGACCUAUAAAUUUUCUACUGACAAAUCUGUUUGUCUGAUGGGGAUUUCCUUAUAUGUGACUUGAUGCUCUUCUCUUGCUGCUUUUAGAUUUAUUUCCUUUGGCUUUGGCAUUUGACAGUUUGACUAUAUGGUGUGUGCAUUGGAAAAGACCUGUUCAGGUUUAAUAUACUUGGGAAUCACUGCACUUUGUCUAUCUAGAUGCCUGUAUCUCUGGCAAGACUUGGGAAGUUUUUAGCUAUUAUUUCAUUAAAUAAGUUUUCUGUGCCUUUGGCCAUCUCAUCUCAUGGAACUCCCAAGAUGCGAAUACUUUGUCACUUUAUGAGGUCCCUUGUGUCAUUGUAGGCUUUCUUCAUUUUUUAAAUUUGACUGAAUUAUUUCAAAUGACCUGUCUUCAAGUUGAGAAAUUCUUUCUUCUGCUUGAUCUAGUCUAUUGUUGAAGCUCUCUAUUGAAUUUUUUUAUUUCAUUCAUUGAAUUCUUCAGUUCCGAUAUUUCUGUUAGGUUCUUUUUAUUAUUAUUAUUAUACUUUAAGUUCUGGGAUGCAUGUGUAGAACAUGCAGGUUUGUUACAUAGAUAUACACUUGCCAUGGUGGUUUGCUGCACCCAUCAACCCGUCACCUACAUUAGGUAUUUCUCCUAAUGCUAUCCCUCCCCUAGCUCCCCCACCUCCUGACUGGCCCUGGUGUGUGAUGUUCCCCUCCGUGUGUCCAUAUAUUUUCAUUGUUCAACUCCCACUUAUGAGUGAGAACAUGUAGUGUUUGGUUUUCUGUUCCUGUGAGCGUUUGCUGAGAAUGAUGGUUUCCAGCUUCAUCCAUGUCCCUGCAAAGGACAUGAACUCAUCCGUUUUAAUGGCUGCAUAGUAUUCCAUGAUAUAUAUGUGCCACAUUUUCUUUAUCCAGUCUAUCAUUGAUGCACAACUGGGUUGGUUCAUAGUUUUUGCUAUUAUGAAUUGUACUGCAGUAAACAUACAUGCACAUGUGUCUUUAUAGUAGAAUGAUUUAUAAUCCUUUGGGUAUAUACCCAUUAAUGGGAUUGCUGGGUUAAAUGGUAAUUCUGGUUAUAGAUCCUUGAGGAAUUGCCACACUGUCUUGCACAAUUGUUGAACUAAUUUACACUCCCACCAGCAGUGUAAAAGUGUUCCUGUUUUUCCACAUCCUCUCCAGCAUCUGUUGUUUCCUGACUUUUUAAUGGUUGUCAUUCUAACUGGCAUGAGAUGGUAUCUCAUUGUUGUUUUGAUUUGCAUUUCUCUAAUGACCAGUGAUGAUGACCUUUUUUUCAUGUGUCUGUUGGCUGCAAAAUGUCUUCUUUUGAGAAGUGCCUGUUCAUAUCCUUUGCACACUUUUUGAUGGGGUUGUUUUUUUCUUGUAAGUUGGUUUAAAUUCCUUGUACAUUGUGGAUAUUAGCUCUUUGUCAGAUGGGUAGAUUGCAAAAAAUUUCUCCCAUUCUGUAGGUUGCCUGUUCACCCUGAUGAUAGUUUCUUUUGCUGUGCAGAAGUUUUUUAGUUUGAUUAGAUCCCAUUUGUCAAUUUUGGCUUUUGUUGCCAUUGCUUUUGGUGUUUUAGUCAUGAAGUCUUUGUCCAUGCCUAUGUCCUGAAAGGUAUUGCCUCAGUUUUCUUCUAGGGUUUUUAUGGUUUUAGGUCUUACAGUAAGUCUUUAAUCCAUCUUGAGUUAAUUUUUUGUAUAAGGUGUAAGGAAGGGGUCAGUUUCAGUUUUCUGCAUAUGGCCAUGCAGUUUUCCCAACACCAUUUAUUAAAAAGGGAAUCCUUUCCCCAUUGCUUGUUUUUGUCAUAUUUGUCAAAGAACAGAUGGUUGUAGAUGUGUGGCGUUGUUUCUGAGGCCUCUGUUCUGUUCCAUUGGUCUAUAUAUCUGUUUUCAUACCAGUACCAUGCUGUUUUGGUUACUGUAGCCUUGUAGUAUGGUUUGAAGUCAGGUAGCAUAAUGCCUCCAGCCUUGUUCUUUUUGCUUCGGAUUCUCUUGACUAUACCAGCUCUUUUUUUUUGUUCCAUGUGAAAUUUAAAGUAGUAUUUUCUAGUUCUGUGAAGUCAAUGGUAACUUGAUGGGGAUAACCUUGAAUCUAUGAAUUACUUUGGGCAAUAUGGCCAUUUUCACCAUAUUGAUUCUUCCUAUCCAUCAGCAUGGAAUGUUUUAUCAUUUGUUUGUGUCCUCUCUGAUUUCCUUGAGCAGUGGUUUAUAGUUCUCCUUGAAGAGUUCCUUCACAUUCCUUGUAAGUUGUAUUCCUAGGUAUUUUAUUCUCUUUGUAGCAGUUGUGAAUGGGAGUUCAUGCAUGAUUUGGUUCUCUGUCUGCUAUUGGUGGGUAGGAAUACUUGGGACUUUUGCGCAUUGAUUUUGUAUCCUGAGACUUUGCUGAAGUUGCUUAUCAGCUUAAGGAGAUGUUGGGCUGAGUCAAUGGGGUUUUCUAAAUAUACAGUCAUGUCAUCUGCAAACAGAGACAAUGUGACUUCCUCUCUUCCUAUUUGAAUACCCUUUAUUUCUUUCUCUUGCCUGAUUGCCCUGGCUAGAACUUCCAAUACUAUGUUGAAUAGGAGUGGUGAGAAAGGGCAUCUUUGUCUUGUGCCAGUUUUCAAAGGGAAUGCUUCCAGCUUUUGCCCAUUCAGCAUGAUAUUGGCUGUGGUUUUGUCAUAAAUAGCUCUUACUAUUUUGAGAUAUGUUCCAUCAAUACCUAGUUUGUUGAGAGUUUUUAGCAUGAAGGGGUAUUGAAAUUUAUCUAAGGCCUUUUCUGCAUCUAUUGAGGUAAUCAUGUGGUUUCUGUCAUUGGUUCUGUUUAUAUGAUGGAUUAUGUUUAUUGAUUUGCAUAUAUUGAACCAGCCUUGCAUCCCAGGGAUGAAGCCCACUUGAUUGUGGUGGAUAAGCUUUUUGAUGUGAUGCUGGACGCCCCUCCCCCCACUAAGCUUGAGCAUCCCAGGUUGACUUCAGACUGCUGUGCUGGUGGCAAGAAUUUCAAGCCAGUGGAUCUUAGCUUGCUGGGCUCUGUGGGGGUGUGAUUCACUGAGCUAUAUCACUUGGCACCCUGGCUUCAGCCCCCUUUCCAGGGGAGUGAACAAUUCUGUCUUGCUGACAUUCCAGGCGCCACUGGGGUAUGGGAAAAAAAAAAAACUCCUGCAGCUAGCUCAGUGUCUGCCCAAACAGCCAUCCAUUUCUGUGCUUGAAACCCAGGGCCCUGGUGAUAUAGGCACCUGAGGGUAUCUCCUGGUCUGCAGGUUGUGAAGACCAUGAAAAAAGUGUAAUGUCUGGGCUGGAUAGCAUUGUCCCUCAUGGCACAGUCCCUCACAGCUUCCCUUAGCUAAGAGAGGGAGUUCUCCAACCCCUUGUGCUUCCCAAGUGAGGCAAUGCCCCACCCUGCUUUGGCUCAUCCUCUGUGGGCUGCACCCACUGUCUAACCAGUCCCAAUGAGAUGAGCCGGGUACCUCAGUUGGAAAUGCAGAAAUUACCCGCCUUCUGCAUUGAUCUCACUGGGAGCUGCAGACCAAAGCUGUUCCUAUUCGGCCAUCUUGCCAGCCCCAUAAAGGCACUUCUUACAUGGUGGCAGCAAGAGAGAAUCAGGUUCUUUUUUUAUGUUUAUCUCUUCGUUAAAUUUCACACUCAGGGAUGGGUGAGGUGGCUCACAUCUGUAAUCCUAGCACUUUGGGAGGCCAAGGCAGGAGGAUCGCUUGAGCUCAGGAGUUCGAGACCAUCCUGGGUGACAUGGUGAAACCCUGUCUCUACAAAAAUAACAAAAAAAAAUUUAGCUAGGCCUGGGAUGUCACAUGCUUGUGGUCCCAGCUACUUGGGAGACUGGAGUGGGAGAAUCACCUGUGCUGGGAGAGGUUGAGGCUGCAGUGUGAGGCAUGAUUGUGCCACACUGCACUCCAGCUGGGGUGACAGAGUGAGACCCUGUCUUAAAAAUAAAUAAAUACAUUAAUUAAAUAAAUAAUAAAAAAUAUAUUUCUCAUUCAGAUCAUGAAUUGCUUUUCUAUUUUUUGUAUUGUGUUCUCUUAUAUUUCACUGAGCUUUUUAAAUAUCAUUCUGCAUUUUUUCCAGGCAUUUCAUAGAUAUUUUUUUCUUGUUGGAAUCUUUUGAUGGAGAAUCAUUGUGUUCUUUUGGACAUGUCACAUUUCCUUGCUUUUUCAUGUUUCUUGUGUCCUUACAUUGAUAUCUGCACAUCUCAUGUAAUAGUUGCUUUUUCCUUUUUAUGGAUUGGCUUUCAUAGGGAAAUACUUUUUCCUAUAGAUGUAUCUAUAGUGUUGGUUGGGUAGGGUGAUUUGGUUUUGAUUCUGAGUGGGCACAGUAGUAUAGUCGUCGUAUUAUUUCUAUGGGUGUAAUCAGCAUCAGUAGUGUCUGUCAGUUCACAGUGGCUUAGGCUAUGGUUGUUAGUGAAAGUUGUGGUGAGGCUUUGCUGGAGAUGAGGACACCAGGUGAGCUAGUACUCAGUCACCAGUGGUAGAGGCAGUUGGCUAGGUAUGUUGGCCCUUGGGUCUUUGGGCAGCAUACAUGGGCACUGCAGUAGUAGGUCUAGGUGGACUAAUCCUUGAGCCUCCAGGCAGCUUGCUCUGGGCUGGUUGUGGAGGCAGUGGGCCAGAGAGGUCGGUGGGCCCUUGGGCCUUUGGUCAGUAUGCAUGGCUUUGAUAAUGCCAGUAGUGGUGGUAGGCCAACUCUCAGGCCCCCAAGCAGCAUGUGUGGGCACCAGUUGCGGUGGCAGUGAGCUGGGCAGGCAAGUUCUCUGGCCCCUCAGUUGUGUGGAGGGGGAGGGCAUGUUGAUGGUAGUGGGUAGAGUGGGUUAAUUCUCAGGUACCCAGAUGAUGUGUCUGGGUGUUGGUAGGCUGGGUGGGUCUGUCUUUAGACCCCCAGAAGGUAGGCACAGGUGCUGGUGGUGGUGAGCAGAGCAGGCCUGUUGUCAGGGCUCGUGUUGCUGUGUGUGGCUGCCAGUGGUGGCAGGUAGGGCAGAUCAGUUCUCAGGCUCCUGGAUGGUGCACUUGGAUGGAGGCAGCAGUAGCAGUGGGUGGGACAGACCUUACCUCAGACCCCCGGAUGGUAUGUGCAGGUACCAGCAGUGAGGGCUGGGGCAGACCUGUCCUCAGGCCUCUGCGUGGCACUGGGGCAAGCUGGUCCCUGGGUCUCCUGAAAGCACAUGCAGGUGUGCGGUGACUCUGCUGCUAGGGAAGGGACUGCGUUGUUCUCAGUGGCAUUGGCCCAAGGCAGGCCGCUCUCAGAUUCUGAGGAGUGUGUGCUUCAGCUCCCUUUGUGCCAGAGCAGCCUCCCUGGUCCACUGCACUGUCCAUUCCCUGGGAUGUAGGAUACUGCUUGGGCUAGAGUGCUGGAUACCCAGCCACACUGCUGAGUCCAGCCAGCAUUGUUCUGCUGCAGCCCUCUUGGUGGAUGUGGUGGAAUGGCAGCAGGGCUCCAGGGACGUGGAGAUAGAGAGGGUGUUGGGCCCUAGGGAAGAAUGUAGUCUGGUGGGAGCUGAGCUCUCAAAUGGCACCAUGCUAUAGUUGCUUGGGUCUCGGGGUGUGUGGGACACAUCCAAAACAAACUCCCUCUCUGGAACAAUGCUGUUGCAUGGACUUCAGGCAUUUCCCUAUACUAGUCUCAGGGCCUGUGAGGGCUGAGGGGCUCUACCUUGGCUAAGAUUGCAGGAGUUCACAAUGGAAAAGUGUACUGGGGGAUCUCUCACUUACCUUUUCCCGGCACUGGAAAGUUUCUCCUGGCUUUGAGCCUAUCCCAACCAUGCUGGCUGCUUCACUUCUCUCUCCUUCCAUGCCUCAGAAGUUCUCUGACACUGCCCUGCUGAAUUCCAAUGUUCUCUCUAAGAUGCUGUAUUCAAUGUGUGAUCUUCUACUCACUGUUUAGGCCCUUUCUGGAGGAGACAAGUGCCACGUACCUCUAGCCACCAGCCAGUAAUUUAUUCUAUUAGGAAUUCUGGGAUAUUUUGUUCUCUGUUAUUUUUUUUUCUUUCAGAAUUAUUUGCUUUUUCUUAAUCAGAGAGUUCCAGUGCAAUUUCCAGGAAUGAAGCAAUAGACAAAGGAAGUCUUCCUAUCUGAAUCCAGGCAUUUGUUAGUCAAGCUCUUGCUAGUUUUCAUCUUUUCUCUGCAGGGAGGACCAGGAGAUGGUACCAGGUCUCAGUCCCCACUGCUUUUCCUACCGGACCAGUGAAUACUCUCACUGCUCUGCUCUUGGAGAGGUGGCCAACAACACACACAAGCAGCAUGUAGGUAUGUGGAAGGUUUUCUAGGGAUGCCACCCAUUUCCAGGUAGCCAUACCCAUCUUACACACACUCCUUCAGGGCACUGAGCCCCACCUCUUCAUACCAACAACCUAGCGGCUUGCUUGGGGCGCAGCCUCAUGUUGCCACUGAAGAGUGAUGCUGUGGCUACCACCACUACUGAAGGAUGAGGUGAAAAGACACGGGGGGUCAUACUCAUUCUGCUGUUCCAUUUUGUUGCUGAGCCAAAUUCCAUUGUAUUACCAAUCUUCAAUUUGUUAUCGAUUCAUUUACUAUAAACAUUUGGGUUGCUUUCCAUUUUGUUCUAUAAAUGAAACUGCCAUGAACAUUCACAUACAAGUCUUUGUAAAGACAUGUUUUCAUUUCCCUUGGAUAAAUGCCUUAGAGUAGAAUUACUGGGUUGAAUGGUAGGUUUAUGUUUGAUUUAAUAAGAAACUACCAAAUUUUUCAUGAUCAUGCCAUUUUACACUCCCACCAGCAAUGUAUGAGUGUUCCAGUUGCUCCGUGUCUUUUCCAGUACUUGGUAUUAUGGGACUUUUCAAGUUUUAGCCACUCUAGUGUAUCUGGUUGUGAUUUUAAUUUACAUUUGCCUGAUGGCUAAUGAUGUUGAACAUCUUUUAUGUGCAUAUUGACUGAUCUUGUAUUUUCUUCUUUUGGAGAUGUCUUCUUUUUUUUCCUUCAUGGCAUUUGCAGCCAAUGGAGAUGUGCUUUCAAAUCUUUUGACCAUUUUUAAUUGGGUUGUCUUCUUACUGAGUCAAAAGAGUUUGUUAUAUAUUCUGGAUACCAUUCCUUUGUCAGAUGUAUUUAUAUUUUCUUCCUGUUUGUUACUUACAUGCCUUAAAAUUCACCUGUUAUAUUGUGCACAAUUGAAUAUUUUGUAGUAAAUGUAUAGUUGUACAACCUUCACCAAAAUUCAGUUUUAGAACAUUUCCAUCACCUUAGAAAGACCCCUUGGACUCUGGCAACCACUAAUAUGCUUUUAUAGAUUUGAUUUUUCUAGGCAGUUACUAUAAAUGGAAUCAUACAUUAUGUAGUCUUUUAUGUCUGACUCUUUUCACUUAAUGUAGUGUUUUUGAGGUUUAUCUAUGUUGUACCAUGUGUCCGUAAUCUAUGCCUUUUUAUUGUUGAACAGAACUCUGUCUUAUGAAUAUGCCACAUUUUGCUUAUCCAUUUGUCAGUUGAUGAACAUGUGGAUUGCUUUCAGUUUUUGGCUAUUAUGAGUAAUACUGCUUUGAAUUUACAUAAAAAUGUGUGGACAUAUGUUUUAUUUAUCUGGGGUAGAUACCUAAGAGUGGAAAUCUGCAUUGAAUGGUAAAUUUAUAUUUAAUUUUUUAAUAAACUAUUAACUAGUUUUAAAAGUGUAUGUCACAUUUUACCUGACUACUAGAAAUGUAUGAGUUUUUCAGUUUUCCACAUCUGCACUAAUAACUUAUCUUUUUUAUUAUAGCCAUCCAAGUUAAUAUGUAGUGGCAUUUCAUUGCGGUUUUAAUUUGACAUUCUCAAAUGGCUAGUGAUGUUGAACGUAUUUUUAUGUGUAUGUUUAUUAACCAUUUGGAUAUCUUCUCUGAUAAACUGUCUAUUCAAAAUUUUUGCCCACUUAUUAAAUUGUUUACUUAUUAUUAUAAGAAUUAUGUGUUCUGGAUACAAGGACUUUAUCAGAUAUAUGAUUUGCAAAUAUUUUCUUUUAGUUUGUGGUUUGUCUUUUCAUUUUCUUAAUGAUAUCCUUUGAAGCACAAAAUUUUUGAUGAAUUCCAAUUUAUCAUUUUUAAAAGUGAUCAUGCUUUUGAUAUUAUCUAAGAGGUCUUUGCUUAACCCAAGGUCAUGCAGGUUUUUAUCUAGAAGUUUCAUAGUUCUAGGUUUUACAUUUAUAUCUACUGUGAUCCAUUUUGAGUUAAUUUUUAUGUAUACUGUGAAGUGAGGGUCUAAGUUUUCUUUGUUUCGUUACAUAUAGAUAAUCCGGUUGUGUCAGUAUCAUUGGCUGAAAAGACUGUCUUUCCCCAUUGAAUUGUUUUGGCAAAUUUAUUGAUAAUCAAUUGAUCGUAAUGUAAUGCUUAUUUCUAGCAUGUGAAUUAUGUUCUGUUGUUCUUAUCGUUAUAACAAUACCACUCUGUAGCUUUAUAUUAAGUUUUGAGUUCAGGUAGUAUAAAUCAUCCAGCUUUGUUCUUUUCUUUCAAAAUUAUUUUACCUAUCUUAGGUCCUUUGUAUUUUCAUAUGAAUUUUAGGAUUAUUUCAUCCUCAUUGGUGCUGCUCACCAUGCCCAUUGCACCGUGACCAGGUCAUAGUAGGAACUAUCUACAUCUGAAAAAAGCUUUUCCAUGGAACUGGGGUUUUUAUUCUCCAGAUUUUCAAAUAUCUUAUCUAGCAAUUUUUGAAAACUUCCUCUAUUUGCUUGAGGGCUAUCCAUUUCUUAGAUGCUGCUCUGUGGGUUCCUCGAUUACUGUGCUGAGGUGACCAGGGAAAGUUCAGAAACUAGGCCCUGUUUCCCCAAGCUGUCUCCCAAGCCAGGAACAGGGUACAUCCCCUCCUGCUCCCAGUUAGUGGCUCAGGGAGCUCUUCCCACUUAGUGGCUCAGGAUCUCUGCAGAGACCAGGUGGUCUAGAAGCACUUGCCCUUCACCCUGGGGCACCGCCAUCCACCAUUUUCCAUCCUGGGUCAUCUCUCUUGAAUCUGUAGGACAGUGUUGGUUAUGAGGACCCAGUGGCAGAGGUUGGGCUGGACCAGCAUGUGGCAGAGCUGUAGCUUAACUAGGGACAUGUCCAGAAGUGACUGUCAUUGAAGAUUAUAGAAAGGGACAGUCUCAAAACUGAUCAGGGCUCCUUUCAUGUCUUCCUUGUAGUCAACGCAUUUCCUCUUUAAUCCUUGAGCAAACAUUGUGUCAUGUGUCAUGAUGGUUGCCUGCCCAGCCCAGUCCACUGUCAUCGUCCCACUCACCACCACCGAGUAGGGUGUGACAUCUGGCCAGCACAGGGUGGAGAAGAUCUAUUCAGAUUUUUUGUAUUUCCUGUUAAGCCUGUUUUGGAAAUUUAUGUAUUUUCUAGGAAUUCGUCUCUUUUAUUCACGUUAUCUAAUAUGUUGACAUAAAGUUGUUCAUAAUAGUCCCUUAAAAUCCUUUCAAUUUUUGUAGUGUCAGUAGUGAUGUCCUCUCUUUCAUUCCUAAUUUUGGAAACCUAUCUUCUUUUUUUGUUUUGUUUAGUUAGUGUACUUAAAGGUUUGUCAAUUUUGUUAAUCUGUUUAAAAUACAUACUUUUAUCUUGAUUUUCUUUAUUGUUGUCAUUUUCCAUUUCCUUUGUUUGUGCUAUGAUUUCUAAUUUCCUCCCUAUUUCUUUUUUUCUACUUGCUUUGAGUUUACUUUUUGAGAUGGAAGCUUAAGUUAUUUGGUUGAAACCUUUAUUUUUUCUAAUAUAGAUUUUUAAAGCUAUAAAUUGCCCUCCCUGUACUACUUUAGCUGUACCACAUAAAUUUUGAUAUGCUGUGUUCUUUUUUAUUCAAUUAAAACUAUCUUAAUUUCCCAUUUGAUCUGUUGUUUGAUCAUGGAUUGUUUAGAAGUAUGUUGUCUAAUUUCCGAAUGUGGAGAUGUCUCAAAUUUGUUUCUGCUGUUGAUUUCUAAUUUAAUUCCUUUGUGGCUGUAAAACACACUUUGUAUGAGUUCAGUUAUUUUAAUUUAUUAGGAUUUAUUUUAUGGAUUAGCAUAUGAUGUAUCUUGAACAAUUUUUCAUAUGUGCUUGAGAAGAACAUGUAUUCUGAUAGUAGUAGGUUACAGUAUUCUAUAAAUGUCAGUUAGGGCAGUUGGUUGAUGUGUUUGUUGAAGUCUUUUAUAUCCUCACUGCUUUUCUGUUUAGAUUUUCUGUCAAUUAUUGAGAAUGGGGUAUUGAAAUCUUUAAAUAUUGUUGAAUUGUUAUUUGUUCUUUUAAUUCUUUCAGGUUUUGCUUUAUGUAUUUGAGAGUGCUCUUGUUAGGUAUGUAUAGAUUUAUAAUUGCUAUGUGGUCCUGACUGUAUACUGUACUGUUGGGUUUAUAACAGAAAAUACAUGUACAAGUCAAUAUCACUUAAGAAAAUCCUUCAUGAAGCAGUAAAUAUGUAUAAAUAUAUAUAUUUUAAAAGAGAAAGAGGAAGGAAGGAAAUGGAAUUAUAUCGAAACAAAGUUUCUGUAUUUUACCGAAUUAAAUAAGUAUAAAUCCAGAAUAGAUUGUGAUGAGUUACAAUGGACAUUCUAAUUGUUACACUAACUGCUAAGAAAAUAAGCCAGUAAAAUAUGCUUAAAAUCAAUAGAGGAAUUAAAAUGUUACACUAAAAAUAGAUGUUUAAUACAAAAGCAGGAAGAAAGGAACAGAGAAAAAAAUAUAUAAGACACAGAAAAACUAAUUGUAAAAAUGGCAUGCAGACAUCCAAUUGUACCAAUAAUACUUUGAUGUAAAUGGAGUAAAAACCUCAAUAAAAAGGCAAACAUUUUCAGACUGUAUAAAAAGCAAGAUCCAACUAUAUGUCUGUAAGAUAAAAUUUAGAUUCAGACAUAAAUAGGUUGAAAAUAAGAAAAUUAAAAAACAGAUAUCAUGCAAGCAGUAAUCAUAAGAGCUAGAAUAGCUACCUUGGUAUCAGGCAAAAUAGAUUUUAAGCUAAGAAAUAUUACUAGAUAGAAGAAUAUUUUAUAAGAGAUAUACUGAAAGGUUAUAAUUUUAUAUCAGUAACUUUUACUGUUUCAUGAAGUAUUUUUGUGAGUGAAAUUGGCUUUUUUCUUGUAGUUUUCAUGAUGGACAAUACGAUGAUUACUAGUAAAGACUGAUGUUAUGUCUCAAUUUGUAUGAAGGGAUCAUGGACCAGUUUUAGAACUGCUGACUUAAGCCAUUUACAUUUCAUAUAACUUCAUGAUAAUUGUGUUUAAGUCUGUCAUCUUGCUGUUUGAUUAUUAUUCGUCUCAUGUCUGCUGCUAUCACAAAAUACCUGCGACUGGAGAAUAUAUAAAGAACAGAAAUGUAUUUAUAGUUCUGAAGGCUGGAAAGUCUAAGAUCAAGGCUCCAGCAGAUUCAGUGUUUGAUGACCUUCUUGUUGCAUUCUCAGUGGCAGAAGGGACAAAAGUGCUAAAAGGGACCAAAUUUACUCCCUCAAUCCUCUAAUAAGGCACUAAUCUGUUCAUGAGGACAGAUCCCUCAUGACCUAAUAAUCUCCUAAAGGUCACGCCUCUUAAUACCAUUAUGUUAGGAAUUAUAUAUCAACAUGAAUUUUGGAAGGGACAGAAACAUUCAAAUUAUAGUGUUCUAUCUGUUCUUUGUUCCCUUUUCCUGCCUUUUUUGGAGUAACUCAGUAUUUUCCUUUACCCCAUUUUAUUCCCACUAUUGGUUUAUGAGGUAUACCUCUUUUAAUUUUUAAUGGUUUCUGUUAGAAUUACAAUAUGCCAUAUCACAGACUACCCUUAGAUAUUACUGUGCUACUUCAAGUAUAAUGUAAAAACACACAACAUUUUGCUUCUAUUUCCCCCUUUGUUCUAUUGCAUAUUGUUGUAUAUUUUUCUGAUAUAUGUGUUAUAAACUUCCUGAUACAUUAUUAUUACUUUUCUUUUGCCAGUCAGUUAUCUUUUUAAAAAAUUUAAAAGUAGGAAAAAUAUCUUUCAAAUUUCCCCAUAUGUUUAUCAUUUCUGGUGCUCUUCGUUCCUUUUGUAGAUCCUAGUUUUCAUGUAGCAUCUUUAUCCUUCUGUCUGAGAAUUUCCUUUUACAUUUCUUGUGAUUCAGGCUUGCUGAUGAUAAAUUUGCUCAGCAUCUGUUUGUCUGAAAAAUUUUUCUUUCACCCUCAUUUCUGAAGCAUAUUUUUGUUGAAUAUAGAAUUUGAGGUUGGUGGAGUUUGUCCCCUCCCCACAUUCAGCCCCUUCCAUUCUAUUAUUUUCUGGUAUUUAUAUUUUCUGGUGAGAAGUCUGUGAAAUUUUUUUCUUUUAUUCAAUAUGUCAUUUUUCUCCAUUUUAGAAAUAGUCCCAUUAUCUCUGGUUUUUAGUAGUUUAAGUAUGAUGUGUCUUGGUGUGGUUUUCAUUGUGAUUAUCUACUUGAGUUUAAAUUUGAGUCUAUUAUUUUCAUCAGAUUUGGAAAACUUUGGUUGUUAUAACUUCAAAUAUUUUGUCCAAUUCCUUACUCCUAAACACAAGUAAUAUGACUUAGUAUUGUCACCUAGCUUACUAAGACUCAGUUCAUAUUUUCCAAGGCUUUUUUUCUGCCUGUCCUUUUGUUUGAAUAGUUUCUAUGUUUCAUGUUCACUCUCUUUUCCUCUGCAGUGUCUAAUCUGCUGCUAACCCUGCUGCUAACCGUGAAAUUUUCAUUUUAGAUAUUGUAUUUUUCAUCUCCAGAAGUCAUAUUUAGUUUUUCUUUAUAUCAUUCAUUUCUCUUUUAAUUAUAUACAUGUUUUUCUUUAAAUACUUAAACAUGGUUAUAACAGCUGUGUUUUAAGCUCCUUGUCUGUUAAUUCCAUCAUCUGUCAUUUUUGCAUCUGUUUUUAUUGACUAACUUUCUUCCUCAUCAUGGUCACAUAUCCUUGCUUCUUCCCAUAUUUAGUAAAGUUUAGUUGGAUGCUGGAUUGUUUUAAUUUAGCAUUUUGGAGUGACUGCUUUUGCACUUGCCUUUAAAAGUAUUGGACUUCGUUUUGAUAGUUGAAUUACUUGCAAAUCAGCUUGAUCAUUCUGAGACUUGUUUUUAACUUUUGUCGAAAAGGCUAUGCUACUUCAAGUAUAAUAAAACCUAGUUUUAGUUUUAUCCUAUAACUAAGGCAUGUGUUCAAUUUGAAUGUCUCCAACCCUGUGUGAACUCUGAAAAUUGUUCAGCUCCCAAUUUCGCAGUAAUUUUUUUUUGUUCAGCCUUGCAGUCUCAUCCUACUCAAGUGUGGCUCUGUAUCCAACAACAGUCUUGGAGAUCUCAUGAAGAUUUCUGAAACUUUUGCUCUGCAGGAUACCUUCCUUUGUGGUUAUGUGCCCUGAAAACUCCAGCCUCCGUGUCUUCAAUUCAGUGAAACUACUACUCUGCUUGGAUUCCCCUCUUAUACAAUGGUCUACCAAGUGACUGCAAACAGAAAUCUAAGGGAAUUUCAGGAGUCACCUCAUUUAUUUUCCUUUUUUUCAGGGAUUAUAGUAGUACUAUACCACCUGUCAGCCAAUGUGUGAGAAUGGUGGUUUCAUACAUUUUCUCCAAUUCUUUCUUGUUACAGGAGCCUCCAUUACUUUUCAAACAGUAAUGCAGUUGCAGUUGCCUCUCCUUUUCUUCAUUAUGUGUUUAUCUCUGGCAGUUUGAGCCAAGAGAGGGCACGGAGAAGUACAAUGACUAGAGAGCACUUCUGUUGAGGCUCAUUCAUUGACCCCUACCCCAGUGCUUUAUGAAUGUGUGCUGCAGAUGUCAUACAGCAUCACAGCUUCUUCUCUAAUUUAUGAGCCAUAAUUUUUUUUUUUGUAUUUUUAUUGUAUUACCUGCUUGGUUGCAAGAGGAUGAUGAGGAGGACUACUAUAGGAUAAAUUUGUUUUUAUAGAGCAAUUUCUCAUGGGUCACGAGGGAUAGUACUCCAUUUUCCUCACUGAUAUCGGCUUGAUCAUCUGAGUCAGUGGGCUCAUUGUGGAAACAUAUGGAAUCCUUUAUGCUUUUUCUCAGGCUGCUUCUGUUACAUGAAAUAAAGCCAGAGUUGAUUGUGAAUUGAAGCCUCUGUAGAUACUUUUUAAAAGAUCUUGUUCCGUCAGCCUUAUAACUAAUCAUCAUCAUCAUUACCACCACCAUCAUCAUCUAUACUUUAUUGAGGAAUCUCAACCCAUUGGAGCAAAGAUAUAAAGCUGUUUUUGUAAAUAAUUGUGCCCUGUUAACUCCCAUUUGUGCUACUGGAUGAUGGCUCCCUUAAUGACAUUUUGCUUAGAUUCUGUAAUGUUUUUCAGUCACUUUUCUUUAUCAAAACAUUUAUUCUGAUAGUUAAGCCUUGCUCAUGUUUAAUUUUAAUCUUUUUUUUUUUUUUUUUUUGAGACAGAGUUUCGCUCUUGUCGCCCAGGCUGGAGUGCAGUGGCGCAAUCUUGGCUCACUGCAACCUCCGCCUCCCGGGUUCAAGCGAUUCUCCUGCCUCACCCUCCCGAGUAGUUGGGAUUACAGGCACCUACCACCACGCCCAGCUAAUUUUUGUGUUUUUAGUAGAGAAGGGGUUUCACCAUGUUGGCCAGGCUGGUCUCGAACUCCUGACCACAGGUGAUCCACCCGCCUCGGCCUCCCAAAGUGCUGGGAUUACAGGCAUGAGCCACUGCGCCCGGCCUAAUUUUAAUCUUUUGUACAAUUCAAAGCCCUGUUUCACUCCUACACCUAAGUCAGACUAGAGUUGAAACUCCAGAGCUGCUUUCUCAUGCAGAGAUUCAAGUAGGAAAGAGGAAGAGGCCAAAGGACAAGAGCCAGGUUCUUCCCUAUUGGCUGUUUCUGCUUCUCUUACCGGCACCAGCUGACUGUUGACAUCUUCUGUGUGGUUAGUUUCCUCUUACUGGCUCUUUAAUCAUCUCUCUGGAGAAUGCUGGGAGAGACAAAAGAUACUCCCCUCUGCAGAUCCCUUGAUUUGAGGGAUCAGGCUUCCACUUGACCUCUUUCCUCUCCUUUGACUCCAGUGAAAGACAGUCCACCCGGCAACAUCUUGUAGCUGGGAUGCUUUUGCAUGGUAGGUGAGGCUCUUUAUUGAGGUAUAGGUGAAAUGAAAAAUGUUCAGCCUCCCCUAGGUGGUAUCCACCCAGCUCGUGGAAAUUUUAUUCUUUCUAUGAAAACAGUGGAAAUGUAAGCAGCUUCUCAGCCAGCUCUCUCAACUCCACCAUCUCUUCCUCACUCAUUUCUCCAAGACCAAACAAUACAACACAUACUCAACAGGCCUGGUGCCUUACCAGCUUUCAGAGGAAAGAUGACCAUUAAUCUCUUGGUUAAUGAAAAGUGAGGGUUUGGUGAACCUACAGAACUUAGCUAGAAUUUCUUUUAGGGUCUUUCUCCCUUAGCUUUGAGGAGAAGCAUCAGGUAUCCUCCCCCAUGGGAAAAGGGAGGUUAUAGACUCUUCUUAUGAAUAUUCACUCACAGGCAACACACCUUUGCCAGUUUUUCCUUAAUUUUAAUAGGUUGGCUGGUGUUGGAGUUGGGGAAGAUGGAAACCGGCACCUUGCCGUAAACCUAGAACAUUUUGUGCCAUCAGUUUAUGCAUUUGCUGCAAUUCCAGGACAAUGGGGAAAAUCCUGUUUUAUACUAACAACAACAACCAUGAAACUAUACUACUAGUAGCUGACAUUUACUGACUUCUUAUUAAAUGCCAUGCAUGGUACUGAGAGCCUUACAGGCAUUACCUCCUCAAAUCCUCAGGACUAUGAAAUCAUCCCUUAUUAUCUCUAUUUUCCAGGUAAGAAAAUUAAGGUCACCGGCUAUUCUGUAGUAGAGCCAGAAUUCAAACCUGGAGUCUGCCUUUUGAGGUACUAGUGGUGUUUUCCCCCCAGAUUAUGUAUUUUGGGCAUUGAUACUACUGAGUUUCCAUCUUUAGGUGCAUCUUCGCUGGUAUCAAUUGGAGGAACUGGAGAAGAUGCACUGGCGCUGUGAGACAGAAGUCAUUCUCAGCCAGGAGUGUCAUUUUCUCCUUGGAGUCUCUAACUUCAGGAUUCUGUGAUUUGGCCAUAAAUAAUAAAUAUGGUUUAGUAGAGGUUA